rnacentral:misc_RNA from 1 species
UUUCCGUAGGUGAACCUGCGGAAGGAUCAUUCAUAAUAAGUGUUUCAUGGCACUUUUUUAAAUCCAUAUCCACCUUGUGUGCAAUGUCAGGGUUGAUUUUUCUCUCGAGAGGAUCAACCCCAAACAUCAACUAUAUCUCAACUCUAUGUCUGAAAAAUAUUAUGAAUAAAACAAUUCAAAAUACAACUUUCAACAACGGAUCUCUUGGCUCUC